GGGAGGCUAAGAAGCAGAAACGCUAGUAUCUGUGGAGCCGUCCUUGAAAUACCACCCUGGUGACUUUGAGGUUCUAACCCGGAUCCAUUAUCUGGAUCGGGGACCGUGCAUGGUAGGCAGUUUGACUGGGGCGGUCUCCUCCCAAAGAGUAACGGAGGAGUUCGAAGGUUACCUAGGUCCGGUCGGAAAUCGGACUGAUAGUACAAUGGCACAAGGUAGCUUAACUGCGAGACCGACAAGUCGAGCAGGUGCGAAAGCAGGACAUAGUGAUCCGGUGGUUCUGAAUGGAAGGGCCAUCGCUCAACGGAUAAAAGGUACUCCGGGGAUAACAGGCUGAUUCCGCCCAAGAGUUCAUAUCGACGGCGGAGUUUGGCACCUCGAUGUCGGCUCAUCACAUCCUGGGGCUGUAGUCGGUCCCAAGGGUAUGGCUGUUCGCCAUUUAAAGUGGUACGUGAGCUGGGUUUAAAACGUCGUGAGACAGUUUGGUCCCUAUCUGCAGUGGGCGUUGGAAGUUUGACGGGGGCUGCUCCUAGUACGAGAGGACCGGAGUGGACGAACCUCUGGUGUACCGGUUGUGACGCCAGUCGCAUCGCCGGGUAGCUAAGUUCGGAAGAGAUAAACGCUGAAAGCAUCUAAGCGUGAAACUCGCCUGAAGAUGAGACUUCCCUAGGGAUUAAAUCCCUCUAAAGAGACGUUCGAGACCAGGACGUUGAUAGGUCGGGUGUGGAAGAGUGGUAACACUUGCAGCUAACCGAUACUAAUUGCUCGUGAGGCUUGACUCUAU
rnacentral:rRNA from 1 species